rnacentral:tRNA from 2 species
AAGAAAGUGGCAGAGUGGUUAUGCAGUUGGCUUGAAACCAGCAUACGGGGGUUCAAUUCCCUCCUUUCUCG